UACGUAGGGGGCAAGCGUUGUUCGGAAUGACUGGGCGUAAAGGGUGCGUAGGCGGUGUAGCAGGUUAGAAGUGAAAUACCUAGAGCUUAACUCAGGUGCUGCUUCUAAAACUGCUAUACUUGAGUGCAGUAGAGGAAAGUGGAAUUCCUAGUGUAGCGGUGGAAUGCGUAGAUAUUAGGAGGAACAUCAGUGGCGAAGGCGACUUUCUGGACUGUAACUGACGCUGAGGCACGAAAGUGUGGGGAGCGAACAGG
rnacentral:rRNA from 1 species